rnacentral:rRNA from 1 species
GAUGAACGCUGGCGGCGUGCCUAAUACAUGCAAGUCGAGCGAACAGACGAGGAGCUUGCUCCUCUGACGUUAGCGGCGGACGGGUGAGUAGCACGUGGAUAACCUACCUAUAAGACUGGGAUAACUUCGGGAAACCGGAGCUAAUACCGGAUAAUAUAUUGAACCGCAUGGUUCAAUAGUGAAAGACGGUUUUGCUGUCACUUAUAGAUGGAUCCGCGCCGCAUUAGCUAGUUGGUAAGGUAACGGCUUACCAAGGCAACGAUGCGUAGCCGACCUGAGGGGGUGAUCGGCCACACUGGAACUGAGACACGGUCCAGACUCCUACGGGAGGCAGCAGUAGGGAAUCUUCCGCAAUGGGCGAAAGCCUGACGGAGCAACGCCGCGUGAGUGAUGAAGGUCUUCGGAUCGUAAAACUCUGUUAUUAGGGAAGAACAAAUGUGUAAGUAACUAUGCACGUCUUGACGGUACCUAAUCAGAAAGCCACGGCUAACUACGUG